AUUGAACGCUGGCGGCAUGCCUUACACAUGCAAGUCGAACGGUAACGGGCCUUCGGGUGCCGACGAGUGGCGAACGGGUGAGUAAUACAUCGGAACGUGCCCGAUCGUGGGGGAUAACGAGGCGAAAGCUUUGCUAAUACCGCAUACGAUCUACGGAUGAAAGCAGGGGACCGCAAGGCCUUGCGCGGACGGAGCGGCCGAUGGCAGAGUAGGUAGUUGGUGGGAUAAAAGCUUACCAAGCCGACGAUCUGUAGCUGGUCUGAGAGGAUGAUCAGCCACACUGGGACUGAGACACGGCCCAGACUCCUACGGGAGGCAGCAGUGGGGAAUUUUGGACAAUGGGCGCAAGCCUGAUCCAGCCAUGCCGCGUGCAGGAUGAAGGCCUUCGGGUUGUAAACUGCUUUUGUACGGAACGAAAAGCCUUCUUUUAAUACAGGAGGGUCAUGACGGUACCGUAAGAAUAAGCACCGGCUAACUACGUG
rnacentral:rRNA from 1 species